rnacentral:rRNA from 1 species
UCCGGUUGAUCCUGCCGGACCUGACUGCUAUCGGGAUGAGGCUAAGCCAUGGAAGUCGACGUGCGCCCUUGCGCACGUGGCGUACGGCUCAGUAACGCGUGGCUAACCUGCCCUCGUGACGGGGAUAACCUCGGGAAACUGAGGAUAAUCCCCGAUAGGCGAGCGGCUUUGGAAGAACCGCUCACCGAAAGGGACGGAGGAAAUGGCCUUCGUCCGCGCGAGGAUGGGGCUGCGUCCCAUCAGGCAGUUGGUGGGGUAAUGGCCCACCAAACCUAUAACGGGUACGGGCCGUGAGAGCGGGAGCCCGGAGAUGGGCACUGAGACAAGGGCCCAGGCUCUACGGAGCGCACCAAGCGCGAAACCUUCGCAAUGCGGGAAACCGUGACGGGGCCAUCCCGAGUGCAGGCUGCUGAGGUCUGCUUUUGCCCAGUGUAAGAAGCUGGGCGAAUAAGUGGGGGGCAAGACUGGUGUCAGCCGCCGCGGUAAUACCAGCUCCACGAGUGGUCAGGACGGUUAUUGGGCCUAAAGCGUCCGUAGCCGGCCCGGUAAGUUUAUGGUGAAAUCCGGCAUCUCAAGUGUCGGAGCGCUGUAAAUACUGCCGGGCUAGGGAGCGGGAGAGGCCGAGGGUACCUCCGGGGUAGGGGCGAAAUCCUAUAAUCCCGGAGUGACGACCAGUGGCGAAAGCGCUCGGCUAGAACGCGUCCGACGGUGAGGGACGAAAGCUGGGGUAGCAAACCGGAUUAGAUACCCGGGUAGUCCCAGCCGUAAACUAUGCGGGCUAGUUGUCGGAACGGCUUAGGGCCGCUCCGGUAACGCAGGGAAGCCAUUAAGCCCGCCGCCUGGGGAGUACGACCGCAAGGUUGAAACCUAAAGGAAUUGGCGGGGGAGCACCACAAGGGGUGAAGCUUGCGGCUCAAUUGGAGUCAACGCCGGG